rnacentral:rRNA from 1 species
UACGUAGGGUGCAAGCGUUGUCCGGAAUUAUUGGGCGUAAAGAGCUCGUAGGCGGUUUGUCGCGUCUGCUGUGAAAACUCGGGGCUUAACCCCGGGCCUGCAGUGGGUACGGGCAGACUAGAGUGCGGUAGGGGAGACUGGAAUUCCUGGUGUAGUGGUGGAAUGCGCAGAUAUCAGGAGGAACACCGAUGGCGAAGGCAGGUCACUGGGCCGCAACUGACGCUGAGGAGCGAAAGCGUGGGGAGCGAACAGG